rnacentral:tRNA from 1 species
GCCUGGGUGGCUCAGUCGGUUAAGCGUCUGACUUCAGCUCAGGUCAUGAUCUCAUGGUUUGUGGGUUCGAGCCCCACAGCGGGCU